CCUACGGGAGGCAGCAGUGGGGAAUAUUGCACAAUGGGGGAAACCCUGAUGCAGCGACGCCGCGUGAGUGAAGAAGUAUUUCGGUAUGUUAAGCUCUAUUAGCAGUAACGAGACAAGACGGUAUCUGACCAAGAAGCCCCGGCUAACGACGCGCUAGCAGCCGCGGUAAUACGUAGGGGGCAAGCGUUAUGCGGAAUCACUGGGCGUAAAGGGAGGGUAGACGAAUGAGCAAGGUUGGAGUGAAAGGCGGGGGCCCAACCCCCGGACUGCUUUGGGAACUGUGCGGCUGGAGUGAAGGAGAGGUAAGUGGAAUUCCUGGUGUAGCGGUGAAAUGCGUAGAUAUUAGGAGGAACACCAGUGGCGAAGGCGGGUUACUGGACAGUAACUGACGUUGAGGCACGAAGGCGUGGGGAGCGAACGGGAUUAGAUACCCGUGUAGUC
rnacentral:rRNA from 1 species